rnacentral:rRNA from 1 species
CAAGGUUUCCGUGGGUGAACCUGCGGAAGGAUCAUUA